rnacentral:rRNA from 1 species
UCCUACGGGACGCAGCAGUGAGGAAUAUUGGUCAAUGGGCGGGAGCCUGAACCAGCCAAGUCGCGUGAGGGACGACGGUCCUAUGGAUUGUAAACCUCUUUUGUCGGGGAACAAAGGCGCCCACGGGUGGGCGGAUGAGUGUACCCGAAGAAAAAGCAUCGGCUAACUCCGUGCCAGCAGUCGCGGUAAUACGGAGGAUGCGAACGUUAUCCGGAUUUAUUGGGUUUAAAGGGUGCGUAGGCGGAAUAUCAAGUCAGCGGUAAAAAUUCGGGGCUCAACCCCGUCGUGCCGUUGAAACUGAUGUU